UACUUAUCAAGAGUGACGGAGGGAACAGGCCCGAAGAAGUCCGGCAACCACAAGCGAUGCUUGUAAGGUGCUAAAUCCUGCAGACAAAAUUGUCUGAAAGAUAAGGU
rnacentral:ncRNA from 1 species